GUGGAUGUGGCUCAAUGGUAGAGUACUUGCCUAGCAUGCGUGGGGCCCUAGGUUCAAUCCCCAGUACCACA
rnacentral:tRNA from 1 species